UUAUCAGUGAACUGUAAUGUUAGCAAGCUCAACAGGCUGGUCGCGGAACCUUUUCCUGAUCACGAGAAUCACUCGUGUUGCUAGGCGGAAUUCUUAGGUUACAUUAUUUUACUGUCCUAAUACGCUCAGUAUAAAAUCUAACGCAAGGCUAAGAAAUAAUAAUUAUAAUACUACUGUAAACAUGAGACGUGGUUAUUUAUGAAGAACAACUUUGCAAUUAAACCCCUCCUACUAAAUGUCACAAGCUGUUGGGGAGAAAGAGUGCUGCAGCUAAGAAUCCAGCAGAGGGCAAUGUCUCACAAGCAAGCAACAAGACGAUGCUUUGACGAGACAUGAUGUCGUGUACGUGCAUGUUUUGUAGACAGCGAGAUUCAAACGGACACCUGAAGAUGCAGAGGAACCCUCUCAAGUUUCUCCCUAGUCGCCCAUUCCCAGAAUGCACUCUGAGGACGCUAUUCUCUGGGAAGUCUUGGCAUGGUGCGCAUGGGAGAUCAGGAUGGAUGCUUCAGUGGCUGCAUUGUGAAGGACAGCCCCACUGAUAACCGGUCCUCAUGGGUAAGACAUAUACUGGAUGAAUAUUUACAUGCAUUAAUCCCCUGCUACCUUUAUCUCAUAUCCUGUGUGCUCAGACUGUUUUGCAUACAACAACAAUAGUAUAAACCCAUAGUGUCAUGCAUUUACAGUGUAGUGUAUUGUUAGGACUGCACUCUACUCACCAUAUAUUGCCAUCCAUUCAUUCAUUCAGUCAGUCAUUAUUCAUCCAGUGGUAUAUUCGUGCAUAUUUUUGCACACUAUAUUCACUGUAAUGCAAAAACAGUUUACCUUCUAAAUGUGUAAAAUUGUAUCACUUCCCAAUGUACUGCUUAAAAGUCCAGACAUUUAAUAUGGCAGCGUGUAAACUGAUUUACUAAUAUGUUCAUUCUGUUUUAUCACCAUACUGCUGUGUUGAUAGUGAAAACUGUGCACGGUGAGCACAAAAGAAGCGCACUCAGGUCUUAUCUCCACGUGGCUUUGAGCCCACGUGGGGGAGCUUCCGUCACACUUUUCAGGCCACCGUUGAGAUCAGAGAACGUUACAUAACAACCACCAUGUUGGGGCCUGCGUGAGGCUCUGGGGGCUCAGGCUUCCACACUUCCACAUGAGGCCCAAAGUUCAUCUUCAACGGACGUUUGCUGUCUUCCUUCUGUCCAUGUUUUUUUUUUCUGAUUGUGCGGCAGCAAUUUCAAAAUUGAACUGCUUUCAGCUGAAAACAACAUGUGCUUCAACAUGUGUCUCACUAUUUGCCAAA